CGAUUGCAGGCUGCAACUCGCCUGCAUGAAGUCGGAAUUGCUAGUAAUCGUAGGUCAGCAUACUACGGUGAAUACGUUCCCGGGCCUUGUACACACCGCCCGUCAAACCAUGAGAGUUGGCAACACCCGAAGUCGGUAGUCUAACCGCAAGGAGGACGCCGCCGAAGGUGGGGUUGAUGAUUAGGGUUAAGUCGUAACAAGGUAGC
rnacentral:rRNA from 1 species